rnacentral:lncRNA from 1 species
GGUCGGUUGCCGGGUGUUCUCUGUUGAGCGUGCACGAAGCCAAUUAAGCAGUCGUAAACCUGAUUAGCAGCGGAAGCAGUUUGGACCGAAAGAGGGUAGCAGCAGCAGAUGUAGCUUCCCAUGGUAGUACGAGCAGGGGUUGUUACUCGUCGAAAGGGUUUCCAUCGAAGUUCACGAGUAAGAGAGAAGGUAGUGACAGAAAGAAUGAGAGAGAAGGAGAGGGAAAUUGCAAGAGUACGUAUAUGUGUAUAUUAAAAAGAGAGAUAGGAGAAAAGAGUGUGUUAGUAAGUGACUGGGAGAUAUAGAACGUGUAUGUUAGUAAGUAACAGAAAGAGAGAGAGAGGGAAUAUGUGUGUUAGUAAUUGAUAGAAAGAGUGAGUAUAUGUGUAAUGUAAAAAAAAAAAAGAAUGUUAGUAAGUGACAGAGAAUGGGAGUAUGUGUUAGUAAAUUACAGAGAGAUAUAGAACAUAUAUAAGAGAGAAAAAGAGAGUGAAUGUGUAAUGUAAAAGCAAAGGAAAGAGAGUACGUGUAAAUGUGCAUCUAUGUGCAUAUAUAUGUGUGUUAGUAAGUGGUAGAGAUAUAGAUAGAACGUACGUAAAAGUAAGCGAGUGAAUAUGUAAUG